UCCCUGGUGGCUCAGAUGGUAAAGAGCCUGCCUACAACGCAGAAGACCCAGGUUCAAUCCCUGAGUUGGGAA
rnacentral:tRNA from 1 species